rnacentral:rRNA from 1 species
UACGGAGGGGGCAAGCGUUGUUCGGAAUUACUGGGCGUAAAGGGCGCGCAGGCGGCCUGUUAAGUCGAACGUGAAAUCCCUGGGCUCAACCCAGGAACUGCGUCCGAGACUGGCAGGCUUGAAUCCGGGAGAGGGAUGUGGAAUUCCAGGUGUAGCGGUGAAAUGCGUAGAUAUUCGCAAGAACACCGGUGGCGAAGGCGGCUCACUGGCCCGAUACUGACGCUGAGGCACGAAAGCGUGGGGAGCAAACAGG